rnacentral:misc_RNA from 1 species
GAUGAAGAACGCAGCGAAAUGCGAUAAGUAAUGUGAAUUGCAGAAUUCAGUGAAUCAUCGAAUCUUUGAACGCACAUUGCGCCCGCCAGUAUUCUGGCGGGCAUGCCUGUUCGAGCAUCAUUUCAACCAUCAAGCCCCCGGCUUGUGUUGGGGACCUGCGGCUGCCGCAGGCCCUGAAAACCAGUGGCGGGCUCGCUAGUCACUCCGAGCGUAGUAAUACAUCUCGCUCAGGGCGUGCUGCGGGUUCCGGCCGUUAAAAAGCCUUAUUUACCCAAGGUUGACCUCGGAUCAGGUAGGAAGACCCGCUGAACUUAAGCAUAUCAAUAAGCGGAGGA